GGAAAUUACAGGGGAAGGGACAGAUUCGGUGGGAGGCAAGGAUAUCGAGCCAGUGGUACCCGCGUAGAGAAAUGGAAGCAUGAUCUGUUUCAUGAGGCUAACCGGAGUCCAACUCCGAAGAAUGAAGAGGACCAAAUUGCCAAGGUUGAAGCUCUUCUUUCUUCUUAGGAUGGAAUUAGCCAAUGAUGCCCUCUGAUUUUAUUGAGUCUAGUGAAUAUGCAUUGACAAAAAU
rnacentral:misc_RNA from 1 species